UUUCCGUAGGUGAACCUGCGGAAGGAUCAUUAUCAUGUAAUUCAGUCCCCUUGGCUGUGUUAUAUAUAUACCCACUCUGUGUACCUUCUCCUGUUGCUUCCGCUGGGUGUGUAAUUCGCCCGGCGGAAGGGUAAAAAUAACCUCUGAGUAUUGAUGAAAUCUCUGUCUGAACCGAAUAGAAAGAAAAAUGUUAAAACUUUCAGCAACGGAUCUCUUGGUUCUCGCAUCGAUGAGAACGCAGC
rnacentral:misc_RNA from 1 species